CGCACAUUGCGCCCGCCAGCAUUCUGGCGGGCAUGCCUGUCCGAGCGUCAUUUCAACCCUCAAGCACCGCUUGGCGUUGGGGCCCUACGGUUCCCGUAGGCCUUUAAAGGUAGUGGCGGACCCUCCCCGGAGCCUCCUUUGCGUAGUAACAUCAUCGUCUCGCACUGGGAUCCGGAGGGACUCCGGCCGUUAAACCCCCCAAUUUUUACAAGGUUGACCUCGGAUCAGGUAGGAAUACCCGCUGAACUUAA
rnacentral:misc_RNA from 1 species